UACGAAGGGGGCUAGCGUUGCUCGGAAUCACUGGGCGUAAAGCGCACGUAGGCGGACUCUUAAGUCGGUGGUGAAAUCCUGGAGCUCAACUCCAGAACUGCCUCCGAUACUGGGAGCCUUCGAGUCCGGGAGAGGUGAGUGGAACUGCGAGUGUAGAGGUGAAAUUCGUAGAUAUUCGCAAGAACACCAGUGGCGAAGGCGGCUUACUGGUCCGGUUCUGACGCUGAGGCGCGAAAGCGUGGGGAGCAAACAGG
rnacentral:rRNA from 1 species